rnacentral:rRNA from 1 species
UGGCGACCGGCGCACGGGUGAGUAACACGUAUCCAACCUGCCGAUGACUCGGGGAUAGCCUUUCGAAAGAAAGAUUAAUACCCGAUGGCAUAGUUCUUCCGCAUGGUGGAACUAUUAAAGAAUUCGGUCAUCGAUGGGGAUGCGUUCCAUUAGGUUGUUGGCGGGGUAACGGCCCACCAAGCCUUCGAUGGAUAGGGGUUCUGAGAGGAAGGUCCCCCACAUUGGAACUGAGACACGGUCCAAACUCCUACGGGAGGCAGCAUG